rnacentral:lncRNA from 12 species
GACAGGCCUCCUGCAGCCCUGGAGGGAAGGGGUUGGGGCCCUCCCUGAGGUUGAGGGGCAGGGAGGACAUUAGGGGGGCCCCUUGGUGGAAAGCUGUCCUCCAGCGAGAGGGGCGGGCGUUCAUGGGCGGCCUGUGCUGCUCAGCUUCGGGGCUAAGGGAAGUGCCCCAGUUUCCCGGAGUGUGCAGAGGGGGGGCACGGCCCCUGGGGAGCCAGGGAGGCCGGGCAGGGAUGCUGGGGGCUCCUCUGUUUCCGGAGCGUUUUGUAAUCCUUGACUCCAGCUGAAAGAGAGUAAACCUGCGUGUGGGCGGGUCGCAGCCCAGCAGGUGUCCUGGACUCCUCACCAAGCAGCCCCCAGGGCCAAGAAACGGAGUCCAGGCCACAAGGGCCGUGCUCUGUGGGAGGCUGGUGGCCCCGCAGGAGACCCAGGGGAGGGUGUCCAAGGACCUGAGAUGCUGUAUCCCCGGGGGUGAGUCCUGGGCUGGGCGACAGCAUCUCCGGGGACAGCCUUCCCGAGCAGCUACCCGCCCCGGUAAGGGCACUUCCUCACCUGGGGCUCCAGAAGGGUAAAACCUGUCGGGCAGCUGGGCUCGGGACCUGGGCUCGGAGCCCCGGGGAACACCUCUGGGUGUCCGGCCCUAGUCUGGCUGCGCAGGUGCUUCCUGGAAGGGCACCGGGGCCUGGGUCACCUGGUUCCUCAGGCAGGACAGAAGUAUCAAAAGAGGCAUUUGCCACCAUUUCCCAAGCAGAUGUGUGCUCCGCUGCCUCCUCAGCCAGCAGAGUCCUAAGCAUCCUUUGGGGCUGGUUCCCCUCCUGCAUCCGAGGCCACUGGGGCCAUGUUCGGCGCUCUAUUGAGUUAGAAGGAAACCAAACACACAAGACAGCGGUUGGAAGAGCCUGGACUGACCCCACGCUGCUGUGUCUAGUCACCAACAUCUGAGACG